rnacentral:rRNA from 1 species
GACGAACGCUGGCGGCGUGCUUAACACAUGCAAGUCGAACGGAAAGGCCCUGCUUUUGUGGGGUGCUCGAGUGGCGAACGGGUGAGUAACACGUGAGUAACCUGCCCUUGACUUUGGGAUAACUUCAGGAAACUGGGGCUAAUACCGGAUAGGAGCUCCUGCUGCAUGGUGGGGGUUGGAAAGUUUCGGCGGUUGGGGAUGGACUCGCGGCUUAUCAGCUUGUUGGUGGGGUAGUGGCUUACCAAGGCUUUGACGGGUAGCCGGCCUGAGAGGGUGACCGGCCACAUUGGGACUGAGAUACGGCCCAGACGCCUACGGGAGGCAGCAGUGGGGAAUAUUGCACAAUGGGCGGAAGCCUGAUGCAGCAACGCCGCGUGCGGGAUGACGGCCUUCGGGUGGUAAACCGCUUUCGCCUGUGACGAAGCGUGAGUGACGGGAAUGGGUAAAGAAGCACCGGCGAACUACGU